rnacentral:lncRNA from 1 species
UUCUCAAAAUGAGGGAGAUUGGGGAAAGUGCUUCGCGGCAGAAACAACCACUAUUGAUACUAUGACUUCCAACAAUUUUGAUAAUGAUUAGAUUGCGAUUCUGGUUGUGCUCAUCAUUUAAUUGGAGAUGACUCAAAGUUCUCAAGCUUUCAUCACUAUGAAGGAAAAGAUGCAUUUAUAAUAGUAAACAAUGCUAUCCAUUCCAUC